GACGGAGGAGGCUAGCGUUGUUCGGAAUUACUGGGCGUAAAGCGCGCGCAGGCGGCUUUGCAAGUCAGGGGUGAAAGCCCGGGGCUCAACCGCGGAACUGCCUUUGAGACUGGAAGGCUCGAGACCGGGAGAGGAGAGUGGAAUUCCCAGUGUAGAGGUGAAAUUCGUAGAUAUUGGGAAGAACACCAGUGGCGAAGGCGGCUCUCUGGCCCGGACCUGACGCUGAGGCGCGAAAGCGUGGGGAGCAAACAGG
rnacentral:rRNA from 1 species